ensembl:rRNA 5S_rRNA 5S ribosomal RNA
AUCUACAGCCAUACCACCCUGAACGCGCCUGAUCUUGUCUGAUCUCGGAAGCUAAGCAGGAUUGGGCCUGGUUAGUACCUGGAUGGGGGACGGCUUGGGAAUACCCAGUGCUGUAGGCU